rnacentral:lncRNA from 1 species
AGUUAAGACAAAAAACAUUUAUUGAAAGCACCAUGAGCCACCAGGCCCCAUGCUUCUAAGCACAUUGCAGCUGCCUCACAACAGCCCUGUGAGGUAGGAACCUGAGCCCAUUUCACAGAUGUGGACUCAACAGUGAAGACUCAACAGCCUUCCCCCCCCCCCCAAGUCUCAGGGUCCAUAGACAGGGAUCAAGGCCACAUGCCUGACCCCAGGGUCAGCACAGUUCAGUCAGUAGGUGGGUCUCUCUACUCAAGGGGAGGCCAGGGUCCAGAGUCUUGGGUCCAGUAUAUCCCACAGGAAAUGUGCAAGGCGUCCCUGUGGCUGUGGAAGCUGAGAGAGACACAGCUGCAGAUGAAGGCCACCUGCUCCAUCCCCCCCCCCCCCCGGCAGUUUUCAUGCACCAGGCAGAGUAGAAACUGGAGGACUGGGGAUGAAAGUCAAUGUCAUGGAAAGACCCUCGUGGGAAAUGUGAAUCCCAGACAGACAUUGACUAGGACACUCUGGGACUGGGCAACAUGGAAGGACACAGCCUCCUUGCUCCUCCCAUCACACCUUACCCGCCAGGAAACAACUAGGUGAAUAGUGGGACACAAGACAGAAGGGAGACCGUUCUGAGUGCAUGCCAGGGUCAGGCAGGGGUGAGCCUAAGAAGCUGAGCUUGCUGAGGUUUUAUUUGGUAGAGCGGAAGGAAAGAGUUAUUCACACAGGAAUGUGACUAUUGUCCCUGGCUCUCAGUCUGCCCAUCCACAAAAUGGGACCAUGUUGAGGACAACAGUAAAGUGUGUAAACCUAAGUUCAGUCCAAAGCAGAAUUGGAUAUAGGGAAAGCUAAUUUUUCUCCUCUCCUGGCAGAGGAAGAAAGCGGGAGGGGAGAGGAGAACAAAGCAUGCAGACCUACCAGGUCAAAGUGAGAGAGCCAUAGGAAAAAAAUCCAAGGAUGCCAUUAUUUGGAAACCCCUCUAUUGACCCUUGGUUCUUGGCACUGUCCCAGGGGGCAGAUAUGCACACACAUCACAUACACAGAAACACAAGCUUAAAGAAGCAUCUACCGGCAGAUACCACCCCUCCUAAUGCCCCGAAGCACAGUGGCCCAGCCAGCUUCGGCCGUUCACAUAACCAGCAGCAUCAGCCACCAAUUGAAAGAUUGAAAGGAAGGGAAGGUCAGGGAACCACAGAAGAACUUAGAAGCCAACAUGCAUGAAUGAAUCACACAAGAUUUAACCAGGACCACACAGUCAGUGGCUCACAACCAGC